rnacentral:rRNA from 1 species
GACGAACGCUGGCGGCGUGCUUAACACAUGCAAGUGGAGCGACGAACCAGGGCUUGCCCUGGGGCAGAGCCGCGAACGGGUGAGUAACACGUGGGUAACGUGCCCCGAUGAUCGGGGACAACCCGGGGAAACCCGGGCUAAUACCGAAUGUGCUCCCCUCACACCAGUAGAGGGAUGGAAAGGAAGCUUCGGCCUCCGCAUCGGGAUCGGCCCGCGGCCCAUUAGCUUGUUGGUGAGGUAACGGCUCACCAAGGCUGCGAUGGGUAGCUGGUCUGAGAGGACGAUCAGCCACACUGGGACUGAGACACGGCCCAGACUCCGUACGGGAGGCAGCAGUGGGGAAUCUUGCGCAAUGCGCGAAAGCGUGACGCAGCAACGCCGCGUGGGGAAGAC